UACGUAGGGUGCAAGCGUUAAUCGGAAUUACUGGGCGUAAAGCGUGCGCAGGCGGUUAUGUAAGACAGAUGUGAAAUCCCCGGGCUCAACCUGGGAACUGCAUUUGUGACUGUACGGCUAGAGUGCGGCAGAGGGGGAUGGAAUUCCGCGUGUAGCAGUGAAAUGCGUAGAUAUGCGGAGGAACACCGAUGGCGAAGGCAAUCCCCUGGGCCUGCACUGACGCUCAUGCACGAAAGCGUGGGGAGCAAACAGG
rnacentral:rRNA from 1 species